CAGCCGUGAUAGACUUUAUAAAAGAGGAAAAGGUUCUGCGGGAGAGAAGAAGUGGAAUGGUGCAGGGACGAAGAUGGCACAGUAGGUUUUCUGAUGGCAGUUGGGAAUGUCUUAUUAGCGCGGCAUGGGAACGUAAAAGCACACCUGUGCUUCGGCUUACCUGCACUUAUGAAGGCCUCGCGUACCCUUAGGCAUUUCACAUAACUUCUUCAAGAAUCUGCCCAUUUAUGUUGGCCUAUGAUGAGUGAUUACCUUUUUGAUGCUGGUUUUUCUCAACGUAUAGUUCUUUCGAGUAAUUGCGAGCAACCACGUUACAAUGCUUCGUUUUUACAUAACAACGUAUAUAUCUUUAAUAAAUAAAUAUAAUUUUAUUUGUUUCGUUCUUAAUUGUCGUAAAUUUAUACUUGAUAGUAUUGCAGAAACUCCCAGUUGUGUUGAAUUGCGCACAGAUGUUAGAUGUUGAAUUUGUCGAUGCUCGAUGCCUAUAUUUCGAGCAUUGGAGAUACUUGACUGUAGUACCUAUACAUGGAAAGAUUUCUUAAUUUUUAUGCAGUGACAUGGUUGAUAAGAUUUGAAAAUUUUGUUCGAUAAAAAAUUACUGUGAGGAAAAUCAGCAUGAACGUGCUUUUGAUAUGGUGAACGAGAUUUAGCAGCUUCAGACAACUAAAUAAUGGACUGCAUGGUGGCAACCGAUCAGUUUCACGAGGAGCCAAAAUAAAUGCAUUUUGAAACGUGAAAGAAGAAGAUGAAGAAGGCAACACCACUUGUUUUGUUAUUCAGAUACCUACUGGAGAUGACGAUGAGUGUGGUUACCCUGAUACAUGGCAAUCCUUCAACGGCUUCAACUAAACCCUGACAUUGGAUGAUGAGAUGCUGGCGAAUGACCGUUCAAGUCAACCAACGAAAAACAACGAAGAAGAGAAAAAUCAGCUGACCUAGUGCCCCGUGCUGUGAUUAAUUAUCUGCGAAGUACACAUCUAGGUGGAUAUAUCGCAUCAGUUGUUAUCCUUUGUACUCUUCAGUGAUGAAACGAUCGAACGCGAACGUGAAACCUCAAGAACCAUAGAACAACCAUUAAUAGUAUGUAGCUGAAGUAGGUACUUUUGACGAAGGGCAAAAAAAAGUGGCAUCUUGCAACCUGCCGAGCUGUGUACGUAGUUUCAGAGGAAUGCGGUAGUCGAACUGAUAGUUGUACGAGUAUAAUAAAACGAAGAAGUCCACACCGAACUACGAUGUCGAAUAAAUUUCAAAAAUGAGCCGCGCUUAUCUUUCAAUAAAUACGUAAUUUAGUGAUGUGCACCUCGAGACCGCGUCAAGAUACAGUUAUAUCCUACCUUUCAUCCAUUCCACUACACCAUGAUGAUGAACAUGUGAGGAGCGAAGCUAGUCCAGCUACGUAUAACAGAAAAAGCAUCGAUACUCUUCUUUUCUACUCGCUGCCUCCUACAGCUACUCGUACUUUGGUAGAGAGUAAAAAAAAACUACAUACGUAACAUAGAUGCUGUGCAGUGUUCAACGUCUCAAGGCUGUGAAAAAUGCUAAUCAGCUGGUCAUUGUUGACGUAAUCUGAUUUUCAUACCGGAUCGAAUCCCUUGUACACUCGAAUAGGCGAGAAAUCGUUGCACGAAUUGGAUUUGUUUUUUUGGCUGCUAAUUUCCACCGUCGCGUCGAUGUCGAUGUUAUUACGGGAAAAACACUUGGAAAACAUCUACUCAUGUUGUUGCUGCGAGAUGAAGAAUUAGCAUAUUUCUUUAUUAUCGCGAUACAAACGUAUCACUAGAUAGCGAGGAAAACUGCCUGCCUGUGUCCACAAUAUCACCACGUUUUUAGUUAAUGGUGCCUACGAAAUACGAAUACGCUUUCCACGGAUCCAACAACAGCGGAUAAUUGCGUCGUAUUAUUGAACGUAUAAAUAAUGUUGGACCAUAAAAACGCGUUCAUUUCAAGGUAUAUAAGUAUCUUGAGUGAAGAUUUCCAUUGACGAAUCAUCUAUAGCCUGAUAUAUUAUAAAUUCAUGUACGGAAUUAGUUCCGAAUAAUUAUUGCAACUGCAGAUACGGAAAAAGGAGAUGAAAAAAAUCAUGUGCAGAAUAAUUUCAACCAUUAGCACCGGAACAAAUAUCUCGAGACUGGCAGAAAAACCUUGGACAAAUAACCCGACGACGACGUGUAUUAAGAAAUAAGAAACUUUCCAAUGAAAGAAAAAAAGCUAUAAUGUCAGUCUGUCAGCAAGUUUUUCACCAUCAAUCUACAAUCCAUCGAUCACAAUAAUGAUUCGAUUGCUGAGUGAUAUGCAACUGCGUCUGCGCAAGCUUUUGAGGAAAAAAAUUGUAAUCAAAGUCAGACCAUCUAUAGAUGAACAGUUCGCGAUACCUAUUCAAAUCAGAUCGCCUUAUUUACAAAGUAGUUGUUGUUGAUCGAAUGGAGUGGAUUUUCUUUCGUUGGAUAUGAUUUAUUGUAGGAAACACGAGACUAAGUUCAAGGAGGAAAAUCCACCCCUCAGCGCCUCCAAUCUACGUAGCAUAAAUCGACUUGGCGUUGGAUUAUUGUGUGCCGAUUUGCGAUCAGAUGAAUGGAAUAGAGAUUGAUUAUAAAUGGUGGGAAAUCACAUUUCUCAAUUUUGAAGAAAUUUCGAGCUGAAUUUUAGAUUAUCGAGUUCAUUUUUCGAGUUGGAGUUCAGAAGAUAAUUUUGUUUCAAUAUUUUGAGUUGUUCUUAGUCUUAGUUUCCGGAUCGUGUACAUUAAUGUCGGGGUGGUAUUGGCCUUUCAAAUGGCCUAAGGCAGAAGAAAAGCCGAAGGAAGAUGAAAAAAAUCGUUGAUGAAUGAUUGAUUAUUUAUCUCAGGCUCUUCAUUUCUCAUCUUCAGCCCUCCAGGAAAUUGAUCUCUUGGACAAUAAUUAUUCCCUCCACCCUCCUCUCCCCUCCACCACCAAUAGUCCUAUAAAAACAAGACCACGGUGCGGUUUUCUUAAAACGAAGUGUGAAUCAGGGGUUCUCAAUUCUGCAAUACUUAUGAAAAAAUUAAUUAUUGAUAAUCUAAAACCAUAAGUAAUCAACUACUGCAAAUUUCUAUCUAACUUUAGAUUGUUUAUGCAGCGUUUUGAGUAAUUUUUACGCAAAUUUAUCAAUAUUCAUGAAGUUUUGAACAAUAUUUGUAAAUUUUUAAUAAUUUUGAGUCGACUUCGGUCCACUUUUACAGCACUUUCCGCAUAACUGAUGUCAGUUCAGCUGUUUUCAAAGCAUUUUACCCGAAUUUUCAAGCGUAUUUCAGGAGUAAUUUUUUGUAUAGGCAAUUUUUAGCAAUUUUGGCGCAAAUUUGACAAUUUUCGAGUCAUUUUAAAUAUCUUUAAUCAAUUUUUUUCUAAUUUCGAAGUAUUUUUAGAAGAUUUUCAUUAAUUUGAGCUCAAAAUUCAUUUUAUGUAAAGUGCUUCAAAACAGCUUCUCCCAAAUUCAGUUCAAUUUUUUUGUUCAAUCAAUUAAACGGUUCGAGUGGGAAGGAGGAGGAGAUGAAAAAUGUGUUUUUUCCUAUUUAUCAUCUUUCAUUUCUGUUUUUUUUUAUUAUUUUUUAGUAAUUUCCCUUCAUUUUGAUGGAUUUUUAAUUGAAUUUUGAAUUGGGAACCUUUCAUUUUGAGGAAUUUCCCUUUGGGAAAUUCUUAAUCAGAUUCAAUAAAUAAUAUUUCUUCUUAUUACGGUUAUUAUUGUUCAAUUUUAGCACCUAUCUAAUGAAAUGUACAUUUUUUUUUCGAUUGCAGAAACAGAAAAUGGAAUUGUAUUUAUACCGAAGGCCAACUGUAUCUCGCAGAAAUUCACUCAAAACAAUGGUAUACUACACAUAAUGGUGCUUUCGAAGAAGAAGACCGAGUGAGAGAGAGAGAGAGAGAAAACAUAUGUGCGAACACAAAAGACACGUUUAUAUACAAGAUUUUCUGCAGGUUGCCACACACAAUGCUCAUUCUUCUAAAUUGAUCUGUCCAACGACCAAAUAACGAGCUACCAGGCAUAAAUGUCCCUAAACAGAACUGAGAUGUGUUGGUUGUUUGAUUGAUUUUGCGAAAAAAUUUUCUAAUCAUAAAGCACGAUUAACAAGUACUACCUACGCUAAUAAAGAGACUUCUGCUGACUGCAGAGUCUGGAUAAUCACUAAUCACCAGUGAUACAUUUUCGUUGAUGAAAGAAUCGACUAUCGAGCGAGAUGUACCUAGCUACCUACGUUUAUCGGAAAAUUACUUCGAGGAAUAGGUGCGAUAAAGAGCUUAAUGCGUAAAGAGGUCAUUUUCACGCUCGAAAACCAAAAAGAAUUCACUCGCAGCGUUUAACUGUCGCAUGACGAGAUCAUACCGAUUGACCAGAUUCGCCGAUAUGCCGAAGCCGAUGCAUCGGUACCAAGACCUACCUAUCUGCAGACUGAAUACAGAUACAUGUACGAUGGAAUUUUUAAUGUCGUCUCGAUUGCUUCUAUACGUAGUAUAAGCUACACAGCCGAGUAUUCGCGUAUGUGUAUCAGGAAAUGUAGGCGUGCAUGAAGAAACCGUCUUGUUUGAUGGAUUUGCAAGUAGACAUGAGAAGAGGAAAGCGUUGCAUGUUGCCUGAGGUCAGUUCAGAAAGAACAGUGAACUUUGUUGGCAUUUUGGAGUCUUGUCGGAAUCGUCCUACGUUACGAGUAUGGUCCCAUGGGUGCGAUGUUGCGUCGUGGUUUAAGCAAAACUUCUCCUUUGAAAUGAUGGUAUAGUUGCGAAGCAUCGAAGACACAACGAUUUAUCCAUCAACGUAACACGUUAUUAACCCCUUCGAAAACACAAUCCGCAACUUAUCCUACAUUACUCGCAGCUUCCACUACAUACAUCCUGGCUAUGGCAAGACGGGCGUUCAAGGGGCAACGACAACAUCAACUCUGGCCAUGCCAUAUCGAAGGUGAAUUGAACAUCUUAUUCUCAACGUGUAAUAGUUUUGCGUAACUUUUACUCAUUUACAACUUGUUUACCAUUUAAAUAAACACCGUUUAAAUUAUUACUCGAUAGACGUUUUGAAGAAUUUACUUAACGUACAAGUACAAAGAUAGGUGCACAUAUAACAGUAUAAGAAUGUUUUUUACCUCAUUU